rnacentral:rRNA from 1 species
UACGUAGGGUCCGAGCGUUGUCCGGAAUUAUUGGGCGUAAAGGGCUCGUAGGCGGUUCGUCACGUCGGGAGUGAAAACUCGGGGCUUAACCCCGAGCCUGCUUCCGAUACGGGCAGACUAGAGGUAGGCAGGGGAGAGCGGAACUCCUGGUGUAGCGGUGGAAUGCGCAGAUAUCAGGAGGAACACCGGUGGCGAAGGCGGAUCUCUGGGCCGAUACUGACGCUGAGGAGCGAAAGCGAGGGGAGCGAACAGG